CUCGACUCAGAUAGUUGUGAACCUCCUUAGGACCCAAUGAGUUGCCAUCAUCCCACAUAUCAUCAUAAAUGAUGAGCUCGUCAAGGUAACGCAAGAUCUCUUGAAAAUCGCUGAUUUCUCCACUUGCACCAAGAAGAGUGUGUUUACCAAUAGGUUUUAUCCGCUCGACACUCUUGUAUCGUAAAGUUGAUCCAUAUGAACCUCCCAAAUCAGAUGCCAAGAUCACUCCGUCCUUAUAUUUUAGACCUAAAACUGAAGUACCAGUUACGUAUGGAUUCAGAGUCCUCUCGGAGCCCAUUUCUCCGGCGCUUGCAGAGGGAGCGGCGAUCGAAUCCAUGGCGGUGAUCUCUUGCGGGUGGAAACGAGGGUUUCUCUCUUUGGG
rnacentral:misc_RNA from 1 species